UACGAAGGGGGCUAGCGUUGUUCGGAAUUACUGGGCGUAAAGCGCACGUAGGCGGAUUUGUAAGUCAGGUGUGAAAGCCCUGGGCUCAACCCAGGAUGUGCACUUGAUACUGCACGGCUAGAGUGUCGGAGAGGAUGGUGGAAUUCCCAGUGUAGAGGUGAAAUUCGUAGAUAUUGGGAAGAACACCAAAGGCGAAGGCAGCGUCCUGGCAAGCAACUGACGCUCAUGUGCGAAAGCUAGGGGAGCGAACGGG
rnacentral:rRNA from 1 species